AACGAACGCUGGCGGCGCGUCUUAAACAUGCAAGUCGAACGAUCUGUAGCAAUACAGGGAGUGGCGGACGGGUGAGGAACACGUAGGAAUCUACCUUGAAGAGCGGGACAACUUUGGGAAACCGGGGCUAAUACCGCAUAGUACAGAGAUGUUAAAGGGCUAGCAAUAGUCGCUUCGAGAUGAGCCUGCGGUCUAUCAGCUUGUUGGUGAGGUAAUGGCUCACCAAGGCUACGACGGAUAGCCGGUCUGAGAGGAUGAUCGGCCACACUGGCACUGAGACACGGGCCAGACUCCUACGGAGGCAGCAGUUAAGAAUCUUGCGCAAUGGGGGAAACCCUGACGCAGCGACGCCGCGUGAAGGAUGAAAGGCUUUCGGGUGUAAAC
rnacentral:rRNA from 1 species